CUCUUCGGGGAUGAUUAAACCGGCGCACGGGUGAGUAACACGUGAGUGACCUGCCUUUUAGACUGGAACAACUUACCGAAAGGUGAGCUAAUGCCGGAUGAGUUAUAUAAGUGCAUGUUUAUAUAGGAAAAGUUGGGGAGGCCUGACGCUGAAAGAUGGACUCGCGUCCCAUUAGCUAGUUGGUAGGGUAAUGGCCUACCAAGGCGACGAUGGGUAGCCGGCCUGAGAGGGUGGCCGGCCACACUGGGACUGAGACACGGCCCAGACUCCUACGGGAGGCAGCAGUGGGGAAUUUUGCGCAAUGCUCGUAAGAGUGACGCAGCGACGCCGCGUGAAUGACGAAGGCCUUCGGGUCGUAAAGUUCUUUCGACAGGGAAGAAAAUGCCUAUAAGUAACUGUGUAUGUAUUGACGGUACCUGUAUAAGCAGCCCCGGCUAACUCCGUGCCAGCAGCCGCGGUAAUACGGAGGGGGCGAGCGUUGUUCGGAGUGACUGGGCGUAAAGAGCACGUAGGCGGUGUUGUAAGUCAUUAGUCAAAGACUAGAGCUCAACUUUAGUAAGGCUAGUGAUACUAUAAUACUAGAGUAUCAGAGAGGAUUGCAGAAUUCCUGGUGUAGCGGUGAAAUGCGUAGAUAUCAGGAGGAAUACCGUUAGCGAAGGCGGCAAUCUGGCUGGAAACUGACGCUGAGGUGCGAAAGCGUGGGUAGCAAACAGGAUUAGAUACCCUGGUAGUCCACGCU
rnacentral:rRNA from 1 species